rnacentral:rRNA from 1 species
GAUGAACGCUGGCGGCGUGCCUAAUACAUGCAAGUCGAGCGAACAGACGAGGAGCUUGCUCCUCUGACGUUAGCGGCGGACGGGUGAGUAACACGUGGAUAACCUACCUAUAAGACUGGGAUAACUUCGGGAAACCGGAGCUAAUACCGGAUAAUAUAUUGAACCGCAUGGUUCAAUAGUGAAAGAUGGUUUUGCUGUCACUUAUAGAUGGAUCCGCGCCGCAUUAGCUAGUUGGUAAGGUAACGGCUUACCAAGGCAACGAUGCGUAGCCGACCUGAGAGGGUGAUCGGCCACACUGGAACUGAGACACGGUCCAGACUCCUACGGGAGGCAGCAGUAGGGAAUCUUCCGCAAUGGGCGAAAGCCUGACGGAGCAACGCCGCGUGAGUGAUGAAGGUCUUCGGAUCGUAAAACUCUGUUAUUAGGGAAGAACAAAUGUGUAAGUAACUAUGCACGUCUUGACGGUACCUAAUCAGAAAGCCACGGCUAACUACG